CUGAAGUGAAAGGCAGUGGCUCAACCAUUGUAGGCUUUGGAAACUGUUUAACUUGAGUGCAGAAGGGGAGAGUGGAAUUCCAUGUGUAGCGGUGAAAUGCGUAGAUAUAUGGAGGAACACCGGUGGCGAAAGCGGCUCUCUGGUCUGUAACUGACGCUGAGGCUCGAAAGCGUGGGGAGCGAACAGGAUUAGAUACCCUGGUAGUCCACGCCGUAAACGAUGAGUGCUAGGUGUUAGGUCCUUUCCGGGACUUAGUGCCGCAGCUAACGCAUUAAGCACUCCGCCUGGGGAGUACGACCGCAAGGUUGAAACUCAAAGGAAUUGACGGGGGCCCGCACAAGCGGUGGAGCAUGUGGUUUAAUUCGAAGCAACGCGAAGAACCUUACCAGGUCUUGACAUCCCAGUGACUGCCCUAGAGAUAGGGUUUCCCUUCGGGGCACUGGUGACAGGUGGUGCAUGGUUGUCGUCAGCUCGUGUCGUGAGAUGUUGGGUUAAGUCCCGCAACGAGCGCAACCCUUAUUGUUAGUUGCCAUCAUUGAGUUGGGCACUCUAGCGAGACUGCCGGUAAUAAACCGGAGGAAGGUGGGGAUGACGUCAAAUCAUCAUGCCCCUUAUGACCUGGGCUACACACGUGCUACAAUGGCUGGUACAACGAGUCGCAAGCCGGUGACGGCAAGCUAAUCUCUGAAAGCCAGUCUCAGUUCGGAUUGUAGGCUGCAACUCGCCUACAUGAAGUCGGAAUCGCUAGUAAUCGCGGAUCAGCACGCCGCGGUGAAUACGUUCCCGGGCCUUGUACACACCGCCCGUCACACCACGAGAGUUUGUAACACCCGAAGUCGGUGAGGUAACCGUAAGGAGCCAGCCGCCUAAGGUGGGAUAGAUGAUUGGGGUGAAGUCGUAACAAGGUAGCCGUAUCGGAAGGUGCGGCUGGAUCACCUCCUUUCUAAGGAA
rnacentral:rRNA from 1 species